rnacentral:rRNA from 1 species
GACGAACGCUGGCGGCGUGCUUAACACAUGCAAGUCGAACGGAAAGGCCCUGCUUUUGUGGUGUGCUCGAGUGGCGAACGGGUGUGUAACACGUGAGUAACCUGCCCUUGACUUUGGUAUAACUUCAGGAAACUGGGGCUUAUACCGGAUAGGCGCUCCUGCUGCAUGGUGGGGGUUGGAAAGUUUCGGCGGUUGGGUAUGGACUCGCGGCUUAUCAGCUUGUUGGUGGGGUAGUGGCUUACCAAGGCUUUGACGGGUAGCCGGCAUGAGAGGGUGACCGGCAUCAUGGGGAAGGAGAGACGGCCAAGACUCCGACGGGAAGCAGCAGGGGGGAAUAUUGAACAAUGGGAGGAAGGCUGAUGCAGCAACGCCGGGUGCGGGAUGACGGCCGUCGGGUUGUAAACCGCCUGCGACUGUGAAGAAGCGGGAGUGACGGUAAUGGGUAAAGAAGCACCGGCUAACUACGUG